UGAGUAACCUGCCCUUCACUCUGGGAUAACUCCGGGAAACCGGGGCUAAUACUGGAUAUGACUCGAACAGGCAUCUGUUUCGGGUGGAAAGAUUUUAUUGGUGGAGGAUGGACUCGCGACCUAUCAGCUUGUUGGUGAGGUAAUGGCUCACCAAGGCGACGGACGGGUAGCCGGCCUGAGAGGGCGAUCGGCCACACUGGGACUGAGACACGGCCCAGACCUCCGUACGGGAGCA
rnacentral:rRNA from 1 species